UACAGAGGUGGCAAGCGUUGUUCGGAAUUACUGGGCGUAAAGGGCGCGUAGGCGGCCUCUUUAGUCAGACGUGAAAUCCCCCGGCUUAACCUGGGAACUGCGUCUGAUACUGGGAGGCUAGAGUUCGGGAGAGGGAUGUAGAAUUCCAGGUGUAGCGGUGAAAUGCGUAGAUAUCUGGAGGAAUACCGGUGGCGAAGGCGGCCGGCUGGACCUGACCUGACGCUGAGGCACGAAGGCGUGGGGAGCGAACGGG
rnacentral:rRNA from 1 species